GGAGGAUUCGCCUAAUGGUAUGGCAAUGGUCUUGAAAACCAUCGGGAGCAAUCCCUUGCAGGUUCGAGUCCUGCAUCCUCCG
rnacentral:tRNA from 2 species